GAGUUUGAUCCUGGCUCAGAUUGAACGCUGGCGGCGUGCCUAACACACGCAAGUCGAGCGGUAACAGGUGUAGCAAUACAUGCUGACGAGCGGCGGACGGGUGAGUAACGCUUGGGAAUCUGCCUGUUAGUGGGGGACAACCCGGGGAAACUCGGGCUAAUACCGCAUACGCACUACGGUGGAAAGCCGGGGACCGCAAGGCCUGGCGCUAACAGAUGAGCCCAAGUCGGAUUAGCUAGUUGGUAGGGUAACGGCCUACCAAGGCGACGAUCCGUAACUGGUCUGAGAGGACGACCAGUCACACCGGAACUGAGACACGGUCCGGACUCCUACGGGAGGCAGCAGUGGGG
rnacentral:rRNA from 1 species